UCUCCACAUGACGGGUCGAGACCCUCUUCCCUCGCCGCCGCCUUCUCUCCUCUCCCUCGAUUCUCCUUGCACCGCCAACCUCGUUCUGCAUCCGCGCCUGCUCCGAGCCCCUUCUCUUCCCCAUGCCGCCUGCCUCCUCCUCUGUACCCCUCCUCUUACCAUGCCGCCGGCCUCCUCCUCUGCGCGUCUCCUCGUCGGUUGUCGCUCCAAUUCAUGGACCUCCUUGUCGCGGUUGUAGUGGUCGAACAAGACGAAGAGGAGCUGCAGCAUCGGGUCGGUGCAGCGGCCGGCUGCAGGGGCCUCGGUGGAAGAGACCAUCGAUGGCCGUCGACGGCACGGAUGACGACCAGCUGGUCUCAAUAUCCACGGAGGACGUCGUCCGGGCCUCCCGCCUUGUCAACAAUGAGAUCUGCGUCCUCGAGGCAAGCCGCACCCUCCCAAACCUAGAUCCCCUUGCUUCCGCGGAGCCAAGCAGGAAAUCUCAUGAGACUUGUUCCCUUGUUUCGUUUGUUAGAGUUUGGGUUUAGGUCUGAUUGAUUGGCAUUUCUAUAUCACCCCUCGCUGACGACGGCGCAUAGGACGAGAUGCAGCGAAGGAACCGGGAGAGUGGAGACCCUCAAGGACUUGCAUCAUGAAGAUAGCAGUUAAAAGGUGGCUUUAGUUCUGGGCAUGAACCAGUAUGGUGGUGUUUGGGAAACUGUUGGUAAAGUCAGUUAGGACCUAACGGUGCUGAAAACAUACCUACCGAUGGAGAGAAGGGCUCAAGAGGGACCGCUGAGCAUAAUGAUUCCAUAACUAGGCUAAAACAAGCAUCAGCAACUAAUGUUUCAGCGGUUGCCACAAAGGCUAAGUCGCUGAUCAGGAGGAAGAUCAAUUUUUGUGCCUCCUUGCAUGUGCUACAAUGAUCGUUCUCACAUUUAGAAAUUGGAUUUAGUCUUUGGUUCAUGUUGAGGAGUUUGGAUUAUUGUGAGGACAACUUUUUGGAGUUUGGUUUACCCUGAGUAAUUGUUGUAGGAGUUGGGAGUGCUCUAUAUGCUCUGCGAUGACUGCUUGCACUACAGGAGCCUCCCGACGAAGGUCAUCUUUCUCACUUUUCUCCCCCUCCAGCCCCUCCCUCUAAAUCCCAUUGUAACUUUCAUGUGAAAGAGACUAGAUCAUGCAUAAGAAAGGGCAGAUUAGCAUUUCAUUGGUGUGUGUGCAUCGGCAGUGAGCUUUUGUGCUACUUUUAUUUCAGAGUGAUGACCAGUACUACUAAUUGGCAGAUACUCUAUUUUAUUUUGUGUUGCACUUAGCUCAAAUUAUUAUAUUUUCUUUAGAUGUCGGGUGAAAAGAGGUACCAAUAGAAUAUAUACCAGAUACUGAUUAUCUGCGAAAAAUUCUUAGCAUGUGGUCAUCUAAACGUAUUUGUUUUUCUAAGCCGCACAAACCAGGUUCAAAGAGUUGUAAGAAAGGAGAACUACGUGAAAUCAUGUACCAACUACUAACGCCUACCAACAAUCAGGUCGGUUCAGAGCCAGUCGCAGAAAAUAACCAACGGAAUUAUGCUCAUACCGCGAAUGGGAAGUGCAACUUUUAACCAAGAUGGCUUCUAGAUCAAUGUAAAAUAAUAGAUAUAGCUGACACUUGCAGCACCAUCUCCUUCCCGGUGAGAUCGGUGAAGUGGUUGAGGCCGAGGGGAUACGUGUAGACCCUGGUUUCGACCGCGGUCUUGUGUCGAUCGACGAGGCAAAAAUGGAAUUUUCUCAAAAGAAAAAGGGGAUAGGUAGAUUUAGUGUGCAAGUAUAACUAGGAUAGAUAGAUAGAUAGAUAGAUAACGUGUACUACCUCUGAUUGGCUUUUGUUGAACGGAUUCUGACUGUUGUCUUGCACUAAACUGAACAAGUGCCCAUGCAGUUUUACAAUCUGAACAUUCAUUUCAUUAAACAAGAAAAGCUAGGUUGGUCAUCAAUGAAGCAUUUAUGGAUCCAUUUGAUGAUGAAUCCUAUCCCAUCCCAUCUUGAAUACCCCUCUCUGCAUUUCAAAGGUACUAGCUAGCAUUACCCUAUUUGUGUUUGUCGAUCAAGUUUUCAGAUCAAUAGCUAUUAUUUUUUUUCUAAAUGUUUUAUAUAUGAUAACUUUUGUACAUACUGGUGUCCAUAUAAGUCAGCUAUGUAGUCUUGAUAUUUCAUAUGUACCUUCAAUUUUUUUGCCUCAAGUAAUGAGAUUAAAAUAAGUUUUAUGUUGUACAGCAAAUAUCUUGAGAGUGACCACUCCAAAACUUUAUGUUGGUAGGUACAUAUUUGAUAGCAUACUGUAGUCAAGGUAUAGUCUGUACUGUCAUUUCUUUUUGUGGUUAAAAUAUAUGACAGUUCAGUUGUCCAAGAAAAUUUUAAGAGGUUACUUCAGUACUUUGGGUCGUUAGUUUGGAGAAAACAUUUAGGCUUUCCCUUCUGCUGCUAUUCAUGAGGAUGUCCCUUUUUCUGUAUAUUCUUGUGUUAAUUAAGAAAAGGUUAACCACAUUAUUUGGAGCUUUACCUCAGCUCUUAUGUUUGCAAAUUGAUUUGUUGAACUUUUGGUGCAAGGAGAUCAACUACCUCUUGCCUGCAUUGCCUGUUAGAACGUUUUGGUCAAGAAAUAUGUAAUAUAAGAGAUAUUCUCCACUUUAGUUUGACUUCUUGACAAAUGAAAUAAAAGUGAAGUCUUAUUGGAAAUACACCUGAUCCAUUAUACUCCCUCUGUUCCAAAUUACUCGUCGUGGUUUUAGUCCAAAUUUGAACUAAAACCAUGACGAGUAAUUUGGAACGGAGGGAGUAUAUGGCAAUGUCAGUUCUAAGAUUAGUUCUUAACUGCUUAUGGCUUGUUACCGAGUACUUCUACUUAAUAUUUCUUAUUAUUUGUUGUCAAAUAUACCUAAGGGCACCAUCAUGUUUAUUUUUGUUAAUAAUCACUGACUUGACAUUAGAGCUUUGUCGUCUCAGUUUUGAUUUUUCCAAAUGGAUUUGCUUAUCAAAUGGUUGUCUCUCGGGUAAUGCGUGCACUUAAUUCAAGGAAAAGAUAUGAAUGGGUAUGCAGGAAGGGGAGUGCGUUCCGCUGCUGUAUGAGAAAAAGUGCACGCAACUGAGGACCUAGGAUGCCAACGGUGCAGAGCCGUUCACCAUCGAGAGGACCAGGGCUACCAUCAGGAAUCUCCGGACCAAGCUCAACAUCACCGUCGCCUUUGUCAAAGACGUGUCCCGGAGGGUAGUUGUCAUCUGCGACUCCUCCAAAUGCUGGCAAGGAUGUGGCGAGUCAUUGGCGACGUGCACCGGGUGAUGAAGCGCAUAGUGGAUGAGGUGAGCGAGCUUCUCCCAUAGUCACCACACGGUCGGAGGCAUCAGAGGCACACCACCGCCGUUGGGGCCUACACAUGCGCAAUUUCUAUUGUUGUAUCUUAUUAGUUGCCAUGCAGCAAGAUGCUUCUGUCGAUGGUAUUAUAAUUGUUGUGUGUUGUCUGUGAUGGAAUAUUAUUUUCUUUCUCACGUGAUGUAUAAAUAUAAUAAGUUUAUCAAGAAUUUCGUAUCCAGAUCCAAAAAGGAAACUGAAAGGGUCGUUCCCUGGUGCCA
rnacentral:rRNA from 1 species